CUACGUGCCAGCAGCCGCGGUAAUACGGAAGGUUCGGGCGUUAUCCGGAUUUAUUGGGUUUAAAGGGAGCGUAGGCCGGAGAUUAAGUGUGUUGUGAAAUGUAGACGCUCAACGUCUGACUUGCAGCGCAUACUGGUUUCCUUGAGUACGCACAACGUUGGCGGAAUUCGUCGUGUAGCGGUGAAAUGCUUAGAUAUGACGAAGAACUCCGAUUGCGAAGGCAGCUGACGGGAGCGCAACUGACGCUUAAGCUCGAAGGUGCGGGUAUCAAACAGGAUUAGAUACCCUGGUAGUCCGCACAGUAAACGAUGGAUGCCCGCUGUUGGUACCUGGUAUCAGCGGCUAAGCGAAAGCAUUAAGCAUCCCACCUGGGGAGUACGCCGGCAACGGUGAAACUCAAAGGAAUUGACGGGGGCCCGCACAAGCGGAGGAACAUGUGGUUUAAUUCGAUGAUACGCGAGGAACCUUACCCGGGCUUGAA
rnacentral:rRNA from 1 species